CCUACGGGUGGCAGCAGUGAGGAAUAUUGGUCAAUGGGCGCGAGCCUGAACCAGCCAAGUAGCGUGAAGGAUGAAUGCCCUACGGGUUGUAAACUUCUUUUAUAAAGGAAUAAAGUGAGGCACGUGUGCCUGUUUGUAUGUACUUUAUGAAUAAGGAUCGGCUAACUCCGGGCCAGCAGCCGCGGUAAUACGGAGGAUCCGAGCGUUAUCCGGAUUUAUUGGGUUUAAAGGGAGCGUAGAUGGGUUGUUAAGUCAGUUGGGAAAGUUUGCGGGUCAACCGUAAAAUUGCAAUUGAAACUGGCAGUCUUGAGUACAAGUGAGGUAGGCGGAAUUCGUGGUGUAGCGGUGAAAUGCUUAGAUAUCACGAAGAACUCCGAUUGCGAAGGCAGCUUGCUAAACUGCCACUGACAUUGAUGCUCGAAAGUGUGGGGAUCAAACAGGAUUAGAUACCCGGGUAGUC
rnacentral:rRNA from 1 species